GUCACCCCCCUUCACACAGAUACGCACGGCCUUGCCACAGGCCCCGACAUCCGCGUGGUGCGAGGCAGCCGUAGGCACAAGCUGGCACAGCAGUGCGCCGACUCGGUCAUCCGAUCAUGGCCUCGGCCUCAAACUCCACCCAACCACCCGGCUUCACAGUCGCUCCUCCCAUCAUCAUGCCGGUCGCCAGGUGGCGCAUCCCACUCGGGGUGUAAAACGCGGGCUCCCCACACCAGCGGGCAGUGAGAGGCUCGGGUAAGAUGCGUGCGAGUCACACUGACACUCUGCCCAUCACAUGGAUGGUGUACACGUGUUCACUGUCGCAGGUCGCUCGGGCCCAGCGCCGUCCCGGGCCUGACUCUGUCACCACCUAAAGUUGUUCUGCAUUGACAGGGAUAAGGGGGCUGCCUGGCUUCCGUACACAGAGUGGAGGGGAGGGCGCUGGACCCUGAUCCACCACACUGAGCUGCCCCUCCCCCGUCGUCAGGAUCUUCUCAUGUGCGCAAGCAAACAAAGCCCCCCUCCCCAAUGGCUCACGUGCACUCGGUCUUCCUCUCUCAAGUGGUGAUCACGACAUUCUAUCAUCCGGCAGCAGCUAGAGCCCCGCACCCGCUCCUCUCCCUCUCCUCGCUGCACGCACAGAAACAAAGACGGGUGGGGCAGCGGGUAGUACUGUUUUGUAUUUUACCAAUCUGUGUGUAUGUGUAUGUAUGUGUGUGUGUGUACGUUGCAUGCACACGAGAGCUGCUCAAUCUUCCGUGGUGGUCCCCCCUCCUCCUUCCACUUUCGCUGUACCUCUCAGUGCCUUUCCGUGCUUUUGUGUAUGUACGCCUUGCUUGCAGCAGUGACUCCUUAU
rnacentral:misc_RNA from 1 species